rnacentral:rRNA from 1 species
CUGAAACUUAAAGGAAUUGACGGAAGGGCACCACCAGGAGUGGAGCCUGCGGCUUAAUUUGACUCAACACGGGAAAUCUCACCAGGCCCGGACACCGGAAGGAUUGACAGAUUGAGAGCUCUUUCUUGAUUCGGUGGGUGGUGGUGCAUGGCCGUUCUUAGUUGGUGGAGCGAUUUGUCUGGUUAAUUCCGAUAACGAACGAGACUCUGGCCUACUAACUAGAUGUAGGAUCCCUUUGUGGGUCCGUCACUGCUUCUUAGAGGGACGGGCGGCUUUUAGCCGCACGAGAAUGAGCAAUAACAGGUCUGUGAUGCCCUUAGAUGUUCUGGGCUGCACGCGCGCUACACUGAAGGAAUCAGCGUGUGUUCCCUACCCGAAAGGGUUGGGAAACCCGUUGAACCUCCUUCGUGAUGGGGAUUGGGGAUUGCAAUUAUUCCCCAUGAACGAGGAAUUCCCAGUAGGCGCGAGUCAUAAGCUUGCGUCGAUUACGUCCCUGCCCUUUGUACACACCGCCCGUCGCUACUACCGAUCGAGUGAUUUAGUGAGGACUUCGGACUGGUCUUCGUGGUGGCUCUCGAGUCAUGACGGAGUUCCGGAAAGAUGCCCAAACUUGAUCACUUAGAGGAAGUAAAAGUCGUAACAAGGUUUCCGUAGGUGAAC